AACGCUAGCUACAGGCUUAACACAUGCAAGUCGAGGGGCAGCACGAAGAUAGCUUGCUAUCUUGGGUGGCGACCGGCGCACGGGUGAGUAACGCGUAUCCAACCUGCCCAUUACUCAGGGAUAGCCUUGCGAAAGUAAGAUUAAUACCUGAUGUUGUUUGAUUGCCGCAUGACGAUCAAACCAAAGAUUUAUUGGUAAUGGAUGGGGAUGCGUGACAUUAGGUAGUUGGUGAGGUAACGGCUCACCAAGCCCACGAUGUCUAGGGGUUCUGAGAGGAGGGUCCCCCACACUGGAACUGAGACACGGUCCAGACACCUACGGGAGGCAGCAGUGAGGAAUAUUGGUCAAUGGACGAGAGUCUGAACCAGCCAAGUAGCGUGCAGGAUGACGGCCCUCUGGGUUGUAAACUGCUUUUAGUUGGGAAUAAAAAGAGGGACGUGUCCCUAAUUGUAUGUACCAUCAGAAAAAGGACCGGCUAAUUCCGUGCCAGCAGCCGCGGUAAUACGGAAGGUCCAGGCGUUAUCCGGAUUUAUUGGGUUUAAAGGGAGCGUAGGCGGGAUGAUAAGUCAGCUGUGAAAGUUCGCGGCUCAACCGUAAAAUUGCAGUUGAAACUGUCGUUCUUGAGUGUGCACAGGGAUGUUGGAAUUCGUGGUGUAGCGGUGAAAUGCUUAGAUAUCACGAAGAACUCCGAUUG
rnacentral:rRNA from 1 species